rnacentral:misc_RNA from 1 species
GCUUGCUUGUCUCUGCAGUACCCCCUACAAAUGAUGCAAUCCAUUAAAAAAUACUAGCACAAAUACAGAUAAAAACUGAAAACUGCAAGGAAAAAUCACUGAGCACUAUUAUCAAACAAACCAUUUCCAGACAAUGUUUUGGUCUUCUGUUGCUUAAAUUUGAUGUAUAUCACAUAUGAAGAACUAUUCAAGGCUGUAAAUUACACAAUAAGGAAGAUGGACUUACAGUUAGCAACCCUUCGCUUUUUAUACUUCCAACA